rnacentral:rRNA from 1 species
UACGUAAGUGGCGAGCGUUAUCCGGAAUUACUGGGCGUAAAGCGUGCGCAGGCGGUUUUGUAAGCCAGAUGUGAAAUCCCCCGGGCUCAACCUGGGAAUGGGCAUUUGGGACUGCAAGGCUGGAGUACGGCAGAGGAGACUGGAAUUCCGUGGUGUAGCAGUGAAAUGCGUAGAAUAUCAGGAGGAAUACCGAUGGCGGAAAGGGCCAGGUCUCUGGGCUGAUACUGACGCUGCAUGCA